rnacentral:rRNA from 1 species
CCUAAGGCGAGGCCGACAGGCGUAGUCGAAUGGAUGAACGGGUCGAUAUUCCCGUACCGGCAUGCAACCGACAAAACCGAAUCCGCGAGUACUAACCUCCGGGUCCGGGCUUACGUCUCCUUCGGGAGCCGGAUGCCCUGGCCUGUUGGGACCGUAACGGUAGUAGGUCAGCGCGGGAGUGACGCAGAAGGGUAGCCGGCCGCGGAGGUGGUCUUCCGUGGUCAAGCACGCAGCCCGUCCCACAGGCAAAUCCGUGGGGCGCGUGGGCGAGGUGCGAUGAUGGGCGCCGCAGGGCGCGAUAUCCGGUGAUCCCGGCUGCCGAGAAAAGCUUCGGCGUGAGGCGGCGUGCCGCCCGUACCCCAAACCGACACUGGUGGUCAGGUAGAGAAUACCAAAGCGAUCGAGCGAAUCCUGGUCAAGGAACUCGGCAAAUCACUCCCGUUCCUUCGGUUUAAGGGAGACCCCCGAUGGUGAAGCGGCUUGCCCGUGGAGCUUUUGGGGGUGGCACAGACCAGGGGGUAGCGACUGUUUACCAAAAACACAGGAGCGUGCGAAGGCGCAAGCCGCUGUAUACGCUCUGACGCCUGCCCGGUGCCGGAAGGUUAAGAGGAUCCGUCAGGCUUCGGCCGAAGCGGUGAAUUCAAGCCCCGGUAAACGGCGGUGGUAACUAUAACCAUCCUAAGGUAGCGAAAUUCCUUGUCGGGUAAGUUCCGACCUGCACGAAUGGCGUAACGACUUCCCCACUGUCUCGACCAGGAGCUCGGCGAAAUUGCAGUACGAGUAAAGAUGCUCGUUAAGCGCAGAAGGACGAAAAGACCCCGGGACCUUUACUAUACCUUGGUAUUGGCAUUCGGUGUGGAUUGUGUAGCAUAGGCGGAAGGCUUCGAAGCCACGGCGCCAGCCGCGGUGGAGCCGCAAGGUGAAAUACCGCUCUGUUCGCAUUGGAUGUCUAACCUCGACCAGUCAUCCUGGUCAGGGACAGUGCCUGGCGGGUAGUUUAACUGGGGCGGUUGCCUCCCAAAGAGUAACGGAGGCGCUCAAAGGUUCCCUCAGCCCGGUUGGCAAUCGGGUGGCGAGUGUAAGUGCACAAGGGAGCUUGACUGCGAGACUGACGGGUCGAGCAGGGACGAAAGUCGGAACUAGUGAUCCGGUGCCGGUGUACGGACGCGGCAUCGCUCAACGGAUAAAAGGUACCCCGGGGAU